AGCGAACGCUGGCGGCAGGCCUGACACAUGCAAGUCGAACGAAGUCUUCGGACUUAGUGGCGGACGGGUGAGUAGCACGUGGGAACGUGCCUUUAGGUUCGGAAUAACUCAGGGAAACUUGUGCUAAUACCGAAUGUGCCCUUCGGGGGAAAGAUUUAUCGCCUUUAGAGCGGCCCGCGUCUGAUUAGCUAGUUGGUGAGGUAAAGGCUCACCAAGGCUACGAUCAGUAGCUGGUCUGAGAGGAUGACCAGCCACAUUGGGACUGAGACACGGCCCAAACUCCUACGGGAGGCAGCAGUGGGGAAUCUUGCGCAAUGGGCGAAAGCCUGACGCAGCCAUGCCGCGUGGAUGAUGAAGGUCUUAGGAUUGUAAAAUCCUUUCACCGGUGAAGAUAAUGACUGUAGCCGGAGAAGAAGCCCCGGCUAACUUCGUGCCAGCCGCCGCGGUAAUAC
rnacentral:rRNA from 1 species